GACGAACGCUGGCGGCGUGCUUAACACAUGCAAGUCGAACGGAAAGGCCCUGCUUUUGUUGGGUGCUCGAGUGGCGAACGGGUGAGUAACACGUGAGUAACCUGCCCUUGACUUUGGGAUAACUUCAGGAAACUGGGGCUAAUACCGGAUAGGAGCUCCUGCUGCAUGGUGGGGGUUGGAAAGUUUCGGCGGUUGGGGAUGGACUCGCGGCUUAUCAGCUUGUUGGUGGGGUAGUGGCUUACCAAGGCUUUGACGGGUAGCCGGCCUGAGAGGGUGACCGGCCACAUUGGGACUGAGAUACGGCCCAGACUCCUACGGGAGGCAGCAGUGGGGAAUAUUGCACAGUGGGCGGAAGCAUGAUGCAGCAACGCCGCGUGCGGGAUGACGGCCUUCGGGUUGUAAACCGCUUUCGCCUGUGACGAAGCGUGAGUGACGGUAAUGGGUAAAGAAGCACCGGCUAACUACGUG
rnacentral:rRNA from 1 species